rnacentral:rRNA from 1 species
CCUACGGGGGGCAGCAGUGAGGAAUAUUGGUCAAUGGCCGGAAGGCUGAACCAGCCAAGCCGCGUGAAGGACGAAGGUGCCAAGCAUUGUAAACUUCUUUUGCCAAGGGACAAAAUCAGGCUCGAGAGCCUGACCGAGGGUACUUUAAGAAAAAGCAUCGGCUAACUCCGUCCCAGCAGCCGCGGUAAUACGGAGGAGGCGAGCGUUAUCCGGAUUUAUGGGGGUUAAAGGGAGCGUGGGCGGGCUGUUAAGUCAGCGGUAAAAGCCCGGUGCUGAACCCCGGCGAGCCGUUGAAACUGGCUGUCUUGAGAUGUCGAGAGGUAUGCGGAAUGCGCAGUGUAGCGGUGAAAUGCGUAGAUAUUGCGCAGAACUCCGAUGGCGAAGGCAGCAUACCGGCGGCGAUCUGACGCUGAGGCACGAAAGCGUGGGUAUCGAACAGGAUUAGAUACCCCAGUAGUC